UAAAGGGUGCGUAGGUGGCCUGGUAAGUCAGGGGUGAAAGACGGCAGCUUAACUGUCGCAGUGCCUUUGAUACUGCCGGGCUUGAAUACAGUUGAAGUAGGCGGAAUGUGACAAGUAGCGGUGAAAUGCAUAGAUAUGUCACAGAACACCGAUUGCGAAGGCAGCUUACUAAAGUGUGAUUGACACUGAGGCACGAAAGCGUGGGGAUCAAACAGGAUUAGAUACCCCGU
rnacentral:rRNA from 1 species